GGUCCUGUAGUGUAGUGGAUAAUCAUGCCGGUCUAAUAAGAAGUGUGUGGCGAGUUCAUCGUUGCACGCCUCGAAGACAGCUGGCGACCCGAGUUCGAUUCUCGGCGGGACUA